CAAAGCAGAAGGGCACGUGAAAGGUCCUGAGACACGAGUGUCGCCAAAGGUUUGGAAGAGCCCAGGCAGGCUGGGAGCUGGAUCAAGGUGGAUGAAUAGUCUGGAAGCCACGAUUAGGAACCAGGAGCUCUCCGUCUGUCCUCGGAGCUCGGGAAUGACCGGAAUUCUGUCAGGCCUGAGGUUCAUGUUUAGGCGUAUUGCAUCAGGACCUUCUUGACUGGGGGUGAUC